rnacentral:rRNA from 1 species
GACGAACGCUGGCGGCGUGCUUAAUACAUGCAAGUCGAGCGGACGGACGAGAAUCUUGCUUCUCUGAUGUUAGCGGCGGACGGGUGAGUAACACGUGGAUAACCUACCUAUCAGACUGGGAUAACUUGGGGAAACCGGAGCUAAUACCGGAUAAUAUUUUGAACCGCAUGGUUCAAAAGUGAAAGACGGUCUUGCUGUCACUUAUCGAUGGAUCCGCGCUGCAUUGGGUGGUUGGUAGGGUAAAGGCUUACCAGGGGGACGAUGCAUAGCCGAGGUGUGAGAGUGAUCGCCGACACUGGAGGUGAGACGCCGACCUGGGUCCUACGGGAGGCAGCAGUAGCGAAUGGUCGGCAAUGGGGGGAAGCCUGACGGAGCGGCGGCGCGUGGGUGAUGAAAGUCCUCGGAUCGGAAGACUGUGUUAUUGGUGGAAAACAGAUUUGUAAGUAACUGUGCACUGCGUGACGGUACCGGGUAAGGAAGCAACGGCUAACUACGUG